CGCGGUAAUACGUAGGGUGCGAGCGUUAAUCGGAAUUACUGGGCGUAAAGCGUGCGCAGGCGGCUUUAUAAGCCAGAUGUGAAAUCCCCGGGCUUAACCUGGGAACUGCAUUUGGAACUGUAAGGCUAGAGUGUAGCAGAGGGGGGUAGAAUUCCACGUGUAGCAGUGAAAUGCGUAGAUAUGUGGAGGAAUACCGAUGGCGAAGGCAGCCCCCUGGGCUAACACUGACGCUCAUGCACGAAAGCGUGGGGAGCAAACAGGAUUAGAUACCCUGGUAGUCCACGCCCUAAACGAUGUCAACUAGGUGUUGGGGAAGGAGACUUCUUUAGUACCGCAGCUAACGCGUGAAGUUGACCGCCUGGGGAGUACGGUCGCAAGAUUAAAACUCAAAGGAAUUGACGGGGACCCGCACAAGCGGUGGAUUAUGUGGAUUAAUUCGAUGUAACGCGAAAAACCUUACCUACCCUUGACAUGCCAGGAACUUUCCAGAGAUGGAUUGGUGCCCGAAAGGGAACCUGGACACAGGUGCUGCAUGGCUGUCGUCAGCUCGUGUCGUGAGAUGUUGGGUUAAGUCCCGCAACGAGCGCAACCCUUAUCAUUAAUUGCCAUCAUUCAGUUGGGCACUUUAAUGAGACUGCCGGUGAUAAACCGGAGGAAGGUGGGGAUGACGUCAAGUCCUCAUGGCCCUUAUGGGUAGGGCUUCACACGUAAUACAAUGGUCGGUACAGAGGGUUGCCAACCCGCGAGGGGGAGCCAAUCCCAGAAAGCCGAUCGUAGUCCGGAUUGUAGUCUGCAACUCGACUACGUGAAGUCGGAAUCGCUAGUAAUCGCGGAUCAGCAUGUCGCGGUGAAUACGUUCCCGGGUCUUGUACACACCGCCCGCCACACCAUGGGAGUGGAAUCUGGCAGAAGU
rnacentral:rRNA from 1 species